CGGAGAGUAGUUUAGUUUAGAAUCCUGGCUUUGGGGGUCAGGGGUGGGAGUUUGAAUCUCCUCUCUCUGA
rnacentral:tRNA from 1 species